rnacentral:snoRNA from 12 species
UUGCAUGUGGAAAUGUCUGCUCCUUAUUCCUUCGGGAGCAGGAAUACAUUCAUAACAUGCUACAUUAAAAAAGGAGUUCUCAGGGCUGCCAACCUUACAGUUGAGGUUGAGUGGUAGUAUAUUUCUCCUACAUAA